UACGUAGGGGGCAAGCGUUGUCCGGAAUCAUUGGGCGUAAAGAGCGUGUAGGCGGUUCGGUAAGUCCGCUGUAAAAGUCCAGGGCUCAACCCUGGAAAGCCGGUGGAAACUGUCGAACUAGAGUCCGGAAGAGGCGAGUGGAAUCCUGGUGUAGCGGUGAAAUGCGCAGAUAUCAGGAGGAACACCAAUGGCGAAGGCAGCUCGCUGGGACGGUACUGACGCUGAGACGCGAAAGCGUGGGGAGCGAACAGG
rnacentral:rRNA from 1 species